AACUAAAAACAGGGGAUUAAGUUCUCAAAUGGUGCAGCAUAUUAUACACACCGGACUUUACAACUGCAUCACUUAUACAUACACUCACAUUUUUUAUAAAUUUAUUCUCAGCAGUGGUGGACUUGAUCAUCAGUAAUUGUUUUAACCAAAAUUAAGCAUUUGUCAUUUGCCUGUAUUGUUAAUUUCUUAAAAAUGUCAAGUAUAUUUUUUUGAAAGGCAUAUUUUACAUACUUAAACAUUUACUUUACGCAAAUUUAUUGAUUGUUAAUUGUCAUUUGUUCAUGUGUCAAUUGAUAUGGCCUAUCCUCAAACGUGUGAGCACUUCCUUGCGCUUCAGACCUUCACUUCUGACCAUCGCUCAGUCAUGCUCUUGUCACGCAAACCUUCAGAGAACCAUCGCUCAGUCACACUCUCGUCUCACAAGGAAUGAUCUAGCCUACUGACACUACCAACAUUUUUUAUUGAUAGAAAUGAUAAAGGUGGGAUUCAACAACAUAAUCUCCCCACCAUUGAACAACAAAUUGUGAGUAAAACUAGCUUUAAAAAAAAAAUUAUCGUGUUCUUUACUGCUCGUACAGCAUCAUCGGGCCGGAUAGAGCAUCUGUAGGCUUUUGCCAUCUUGUCUGCGUUCAUUGCAUUCCAGCCUAUGCCUGGAUAAGUAUUGUUAUUAAGAUGAGAA